CUACCGCAGUUAUUGAACUACACGCGUAGACAAUUAAGUUUUUCCGUGCUUGUAGAUACUCAACGAAAGCUUUAAGGAGAAGUUGUUAUAAAAUUAAUACCAUCAUAAUCUGGUUUGCUGUGUUCCUGUAAUAUUAUAAUUAUGUCUUACUCGUAUAUCAGAACGAAAUACUAAAUUCACAUUUACGAGAAACACAAAGCUGACGUGGUUGGAUUUUGCUAGGAACUGAGUUUCGUCUGGGAAGCGCCCGGAAACCUGCUAAUGAAGCAUCUCUGAAAGACGAUCUAGACCAUCAAAAACAACGGCAAAUGCGCUGUAAUGUCCGGGACGGUAUCUGUUUUGGGACAGCGUCGCACAAGGUCACUGCAAUGUCCUGUCAAGGAUGAAGAUCCGGAAACAUGUGGUUAUGAUUAGCCAAGCGAACUGGCAGCACGCAAAACGGAGAAAGGGAAACAACGCUGAUGUAAUGCGCCCUAGAGGGAUCAAGCUUGCCUUGGGGACUUAAAGAACGAAGUGGUGCCCAAUGAUGGCGCCACAGAGCUGCGAGGUUCAAAAAUUUUAGAGGAAGCAAUGAAUACUAUAAAGGCUCUGGAGGAAGUCACCCAAAAGCAGAAGGGAGAACUGCACAGACUGAGACAAAACCUGGCUGAAAUGGAGAUUAAAGCAAGUCAAGACGCAGCUGCAGAAAUGCUGGACAUUCUUCCUAGCACAAGUGCUCAGCCAAAUUCGGAUGACGCCAAAUUUCAUGUGUUUCAGCGACUGAUGGAUCACCUUUUCCAAACAUACGACCACUACGUGGAUGCAUCCAGUUUCCAGACGCUGUCCGAUACAACCUACAUGUGGCUCGAAGAACACUGCAGUCCCUCCAGCCUCAUGGCCUUGACAGCUGGAGUGCUGCGUGAUCGUCAGUGAUUACAUAGCACUUUAAUUCAUUGUUAACAAAAUCACAGCAAAGCUGCCAAGAAAAACAACAUCGGUCUAAUUAUUCCCGACCAGCGAAUCUAAAUGCUAAAAAAGCAUCCUCGUUGUCUCUCUGUGCCUUGUGUAUGCAUCAGUUUUGGUUGCCGAGCCAAACAAAAAAUUGCGGGUUUAACCGUAAAAUAUAAGCGUAAGAAGAGUAUAACCGUAAUACAAAUCACUACGAGGAAGUGCAGUGUCUGUCCUCGGAACCUUUAACGACAUGAGAGACAACGAGGACGUUUUUUUAGCUUUUAGAUUGGCGGGUCAUUAUUGACCAUGCCCCAUGUUGUUUUUGUUGGCAGCGCUGCUGUGAUUUUGUUAACAAUGAAAUAAACUACAGAAAUGUUUAAAAAAUGGCACAGAUGUGCAUCAAUAUCUUCCACACAAAAUUGAUGCGAAUUUGUCAUUUUUAUUACACCUUAAGUUUCGUGUAAAUUGACCUUUGACAUCCUUUUGUGGACUAAUACUUUAGCGAGUACAUGGCGCUGAAAAGCAGAAUGUCAAUCGCAUCGUUGCUGCCAAAUCUCCUAAGGACAGCGCCGUUCAACUGCUUGACAGCGAUUCCAAUUUUCUGCGCCGAUCUAA